UCGUUAAAUGUAAAAUAACUGACAUUUGGGAAAGCAUUACAGAUUACAGAUUUCAUUGAUUGUGCGAUAAUAUUAGAAGACACUAUAGAACUCGAUAAUUCUCUACUAUCGUUAACUUCCUAACAGGUGGACAAUAUACACAUAGAAUAGUUAGAGGGCCGACUUUUGUAUCAACAUAAAUGGCAAUUGUUUGAAGAUCUUGGAAAUUUGAAGUUGAAAGUUGGACAUAUUUCAUAGAACUUUUAAUUAAAAAGACUACACCACCAUGUUCAUUUUCAGCAUUUUUAAAAAUAAAAUCAUACCCAGGCAUGUAAGUGUGACUGGGAACUUUUUAACCAUGUUUCAUUUAAUAAACAUAUAUCUAUUUCAUUAUCAAAUAAAAGUGUUUGUAACAAAGGUUUUUUAGUAUUAAUACUUAAUACUUUGUCUAUUAUGUUGUACUAGUUUUAAACUAUCCAUUAUUCAGAUAAGUUUUUAAUAAAAAUUUCCUUAAUAUGA